AAAGUUGCAUGGUGUAGACCCGAAACCGGGUGACCUAUCCAUGGCCAGGUUGAAGCGAGAGUAAAAUCUCGUGGAGGACCGAACCACGUUGGUGUUGAAAAACCAUGGGAUGAGCUGUGGAUAGCGGAGAAAUUCCAAUCGAACUCGGAGAUAGCUGGUUCUCCUCGAAAUAGCUUUAGGGCUAGCGUCGUGUAAUUGAGUAAUGGAGGUAGAGCACUGAAUGGGCUAGGGGCUAUAGUAGUUACCGAACCCUAUCAAACUCCGAAUGCCAUAUACUUGUAUCACGGCAGUCAGACUGCGAAUGAUAAGAUCCGUAGUCAAAAGGGAAACAGCCCAGACCAUCAGCUAAGGUCCCAAAGUGUAAGUUAAGUGGAAAAGGAUGUGGGAUUCUAAGACAACUAGGAUGUUGGCUUAGAAGCAGCCACUCAUUAAAGAGUGCGUAAUAGCUCACUAGUCAAGAGAUCCUGCGCCGAAGAUGUCCGGGGCUCAAACUUACCACCGAAGCUAUGGGUGUACACUAUGUGUAC
rnacentral:rRNA from 1 species